rnacentral:rRNA from 1 species
GAUGAACGCUGGCGGCGUGCCUAACACAUGCAAGUCGAACGGAAAGACCAUGAUUUUGUGGGGUGCUCGUGUGCCGAACGGGUGAGUAUCACGUGAGUAUCCUGCCCUUGACUUUGGGAUAAAUUCAGGAAACUGGGGCUAAUAUCGGAUAGGAGCUCCUGCACCGUGGUGGGGGUUGGAAAGUUUCGGCGGUUGGGGAUGGACUAGCGGCUUAUGAGCUAGUUGGUGGGGUAGUGGCUUACCAAGGCUUUGACGGGUAGCCGGCCUGAGAGCGUGACCGGCGACAAUGGUACUACGAGACGGCCCAGUCUCCUACGGGAGGCAGCAGGGGGAAACAUUGCACAAUGAGCCGAAGCCUGAGACGGCAACGCCGGGUUCGUGAUGACGGCUUUCGGGGGGUAAACCGCUUUCGCCUGUGACGAAGCGUGAGUGACGGUAAUGGGUAAAGAAGCACCGGCUAACUACGUG